CCCAACAGUGGAGGCCGCCACUGAAGCUGACUUCCUACACUCCACAGGGGACUCCUCGGGUUACAAGCUUGGCCCAAAUGUUCCUGACUCCACCGCAUUGGCUGCCAAGGCUACCGGCACCUGGUCAAGGCCAGCAGCAGGAGGGGACACUGCGUGCCUGCUACAUUCCGGACUUUGGGCUAAGCACUCUGCCGUCUUGAGCAACAGGGCCAAGAGGACAGGCACUUGUCCUGUCCUAUACCACCUAGGCCUGUAUCACCAAGAAGGGCAGAGAUGGCAGGGGACAGAAGCUAAGCAGAAAAAUGCCACACUCCUCCUCCUCGAGGCUGAAGCCAUCACUCACAGGACAGAGCCAGAAACCUGAUUUCCAGAGUCCAGGACCUAGUGCAAGGUUAUGGAGCUGGCAAACGCAGGCCAGAGAUUAGAGCCACAUCCACAGAACCCUGCACUCAGGCUCAUAAUUGCUAUGUCUGUAAAAGGAGAAGAUCCU